CCUACGGGUGGCAGCAGUGGGGAAUAUUGGGCAAUGGGCGCAAGCCUGACCCAGCAACGCCGCGUGAAGGAUGAAGGUUUUCGGAUUGUAAACUUCUGUCGCGAGGGACGAAGAAUGACGGUACCUCGUAAGAAAGCCCCGGCUAACUACGUGCCAGCAGCCGCGGUAAUACGUAGGGGGCAAGCGUUGUCCGGAUUUACUGGGUGUAAAGGGAGCGUAGACGGCAGCGCAAGUCUGGAGUGAAAUGCCGGGGCCCAACCCCGGAACUGCUCUGGAAACUGUGAAGCUGGAGUGCAGGAGAGGUAAGCGGAAUUCCUGGUGUAGCGGUGAAAUGCGUAGAUAUCAGGAGGAACACCGGCGGCGAAGGCGGCUUACUGGACUGUAACUGACGUUGAGGCUCGAAGGCGUGGGGAGCAAACAGGAUUAGAUACCCUUGUAGUC
rnacentral:rRNA from 1 species